rnacentral:lncRNA from 1 species
AUGGCAGGUGAGUGGAAGGGACGGGACCUCGUUUCUGGAGCAAGAACUUCAGGUGCAGCGAGCUACUGCCAGUCGUUCGUUCCCUCCUGCCCUGCAUGGGACACCUGCACGUCCAGGGAAUUCCUGCUCCCUGAGCCCAGUGAGAGAAGACGCGCGUCGGAGGGCAGCCUGGAGCCAGCAGCCACGGAGCCCGAGGGAGCAGACGAAUUCUGCUGUGAACACAUUCUGCAUCUGUGUGCAACCGUAAUGUGGUCUCACACCAACAUCCCAUGCAUCCCCCAUGACUGUUGUGUUCGUUCAUUCUGGCAGGCAAGUAUUCCCACCCCGGGAAAACUCAGACAUGACAUGCCUUUCUUUCAGUGUUGGGGCUCCCCAACACACCCCUGCUUCAUUGGGCCAUUUCCCAAAGCAAACAUACCUUCCAGCUCUAUCACGCUCCGAGUGGUCAAGCCAUCUGGAAAUGUUCACACGCUGGUAUGAGUCCUGCUAACUCGUGUGAGCCCACCUAGGGAGGAAUGAGCUCUGUUUCUACUGCGGAACCUCACUGAUUUGAGAAAUGGAUGAUGGCACAAGUGCUAAGGGGAAAUCUGACAGGGUCUCUGGGGGGCAGACUGCAGCCCCCACCCCCAAGGGACUUGGCAGGAGUCUUAAGGCCACAGAUCUGGAGAUAAGGAGAUCAUCCUAGAUUCCCCCAUCUAAUCACAGGAGGCUUAACAGCAGAAAGCUUGAUUCAGCUGGAGUGACAGACCCAGCACAGAGAUCAGGCACACCUGAAGCAGGAGGGGUCAGCUCGCCACCACUGGGGGGACCACCAGGGUCUGCUGGGCUCACACCCGGUCAGCUGCAAAGGGACCUCCUCCCAGCCAGCAACUCAGUGAGCCCGCGCUCAGUCAUCCAGAGCCCUCAGACAGGAGAGCAACCUUCAAGUCACCUUGACAUGAGCCCAGUUGAGCCUGGACUUCCCGCCUGCAUAGCGGCAGAAUACAUGGGCUUUGCUUUAAGCUGCUCUCUGGGAGGACAGAUGCUAUGGGAGCAGCAUGCAGUCUGGGUGGCAAGGAGCUGGAGGCUUGGGGUUCCUACAGGGGGUCCCCGAGCUCACCGUGGAAAGAAGCAAAGCCCCCUGGGAUGCCCACCCUUCCCACCGCCAAGCUUCUCCCGCGCAGACACACUCGCUGAGCUGACAGAGCAGGUCCUGCGGUGGGCCGGCCCCCCGUGGUUCUAUUUAUACGGCCUGUAUGCAAACGAGGACUUGGGGAAACCCAGCAUGUGAUUGGGUUACAGAGCAUAUGUAAAUAGCCAGAGGCAGCUCUGCUCUCUGAUUGGAUAAGAUUGCUGGGGAAGUCAGCCAACCAGAGCAGAGAUGGCCCUAGACACCCUCCAAGAAGCGCUGCUCCGGGCCCUCCCCGGAGAGCCGGGCGCUUGACUGGGGGAAGUGGAGGCUGUAGCUGGGAUUCCUGAUGGUUUUUAUUGUUUUGUUUUAAAAAAAAUUUUUUUAAUUUAAGUUCAAUUUGCCAAUAUAUAGUAUAACGCCCAGUGCUCAUCCCAUCACGCGCCCGCCUAAGUGCCCGUCACCUGGUGCUGAUGAAUUCACGGGGCCUUAUGGUGAUGAAGCCCCAGUAGGACGGCAGUGGUGAAAUCCAUCACCUUCCGACUGACAAAGAAAUCCAGUAUCAUCUUUAUUCCGGAAUAUCAGAGAAUGGAGAGGAAGAGGGUUUGGGCGUGUUUUCGUGGUUUUUCGUUGUUGUUGUUGUUGUUGUUGUUUGUUAGUAUUUUUAGGGAAACGAUAUACACUUCAACGUAUAUGAGAAUAUCAAAUACCUGGGCAUCCCAGAGCAGUGUUUGCAGAGUGUGGUCUUGGGCCAACAUCAGGUCACCUGGGGAUUCGUUAGGAAUGCAAACUCGGGUCACUCCAGACCCAUUGAGUCACCAAGGGAAUGAGGCCCAGCUCUCUGCUCAGAUGCAUGUUAAUGUUUGAGAGCCAAACAAACUAGAUUGAACGGGCUCACUCAGAAAUUGAGCCACGUACUAAAUUAUCUGUCCUGUCUGCAAAUGAGUCAGUAAAAAAAUCGAAUGGCAAAAAUUUCUCUCAUUAUAUUAAAUAAGAUAAACAAGGAUACUCUUGGAAAAAGUGGGAUUCUUUUCAUGAAAAUAGAAAGCUCACUGAGAGGUUGAUAGAAAGAGACCUGCUUCCUUGGCUAUUAAAAUAAAUUUGAAAAAAAAAUCUAUUUUCUCCUAAACUGAUCUAUAAAUUCAACAUAAUCCCAUUAGGAUUUUAUCUGUCAUUUGGAAAGGGGAUAAAAGUUGUGAAGAUCCUAUACAAGGAAAUAGAGAGACAACAGAUAAAUUCUUUAAAAGAAUAAGACUUUUCUAUAUACAAGACCAUAUUGGGAUGCCUGGAUGGCUCAGCAGUUGAGUGUCUGCCUUUGGCUCAGGUCCUGACCCUGGGGUCCUGGGAUUGAGUCCCACAUUGGGCUCCUUGCAUGGAGCCUGCUUCUCCCUCUGCUUAUGUCUCUGCCUCUCUCUCUCUCUGUCUUUCAUGAAUACAUUUUUUAAAAUAUUUUUUAAAAAGACCAUACUAUCUGCAAACAGGGGAAGUUUGAUUUUCUUCCUUUCCAAAAUGGAUGUUCUUUAUACUUAAGAUCUCAGGGAUGUCACCGAACUGUUUUUAAUCUAGGUUAACAAUGGUUUUCUAACAUUUUUUUCUUGUAAAUAUCUCUCCUAAAAGAAAGUUCUCCUUUGGACUGAGAUUGAGUGUACGUCUUGCAGUAAGACCGUAGUACAGCUCUAAUAUGUGCUCAUAGCUAAAUUGCUGGUAAUCAUUUCAAACACAGUGGGGAUUUUUAAAGGGCUGAAGUAUUGAAAAAAAAAAUGCCAGGCCUCCUGGCAAAUUACUGUUAAACUAGUAAGAAACAUAAAAUACUACUGAUAAAUUCCACAAAAUAAAGAAUGCAGGAAAACCUCAUUUUUUCCUUCUGAAAAAAAAAGUAGAAUGCUGUUAUUACAAUGGAUAAAGAUGACCCACCGACAGCACCCCCCACCCAAAAGUACAGACUAGCAUCACUUAUAAAUAAGGACAGAAAGAUUCUACCUUAAAUAUUAGCUGAUUGAUUCCAGGAUCGUGAAAGAAUGACAACGGCAAAUUUGAAUUUCUUGAAAGAAUGAUAGAAUGGUUCAGUAUUAUCGGGAAUAUAAGUCACCUCACUUAGAUCCAAAGAGAAAAGGCUUAUGAGUAUCAUUAAUCUUUUAUCAUUUUUUUAAAAAUUAAUCAUCUGUAAGUUAGGAUCAGUGGAAGCCCAGAAUCAUUUUGCCGGGAAGUUCCUUUAGUAUGGCUACUGUUAGAGCUGGAAACAAAUCAGAGAAGCCCCUCAUUUCAUCUCUAUUCACCUGCAUUCUGGAAAUGUCCUCUGUCAUUCAGUACUGAGUGAAGAACCGACUUCUAACAGGUACCCAACAUGCAGAAACAACAAGGAAUGACAGAUUACAGUUACACAAAUACAAGUCAACUGCGCCAAUGCAGUAGUCAACUACGAGCAAGGAACAGAAAAUGUAAUAAGGAAACCCAUUCGGGGAUCCCUGGGUGGCUCAGCGAUUUAGCGCCUGCCUUCGGCCCAGGGCAUUAUCCUGGAAUCCUGGGAUCAAGUCCCAGGACAGACUCCCUGAAGGGAGACUGCUUCUCCUUCUGCCUAUCUCUGACCCUCUCUCUGUGUCUCUCAUGAAUAAAUAAAUAAAAUAUUUUUUUAAAAGGAAACCAAUUCAAUAUAGCCAAAUAAAUACAUAAAUACAUCAAAAUUAAAAUAUUUUUAAAAAAUUUAAACCUACAAAUAACCUUGAUGAAAAUGUGUGCAGAAUGGAAUGAAGAAAUGUCUGUAAGUCUAUAGAUGGUUAAACACGAUUGAAAGAAACAGAAGAUGGGUCAGUUGGUGGAGCGUGUGACUCUUGAUCUCAGGGUUGGGGGCUCAAGCCCCAUGCUGAGUGUAGAGACGACUUAAAAAUAAAAUUAAAAAAAAAAAAAAAGGAGCAGUCGAAGGUCCUGUGUCAUCAGACACCAGAAUGAAAGCUGGAGGGAUCUCUGGAGAGAGCCGCUGGUUCUGACACAUGUUCGGCCGUUCUGAAACCUCACUUGGAGCUGGUGUACUUGGUGACAGGCUUGGACCCUGGAUCCAGUGUGCCUGGCCAGCUCAUCUGCCCCUCAAAGGAUGAGACAGUGGAAUGGCCUGGGGGAGCAUGCUCUAAAGGAGGUGCCAUCCAUAGAAGCAUUCAUCUCUCCUAAAAUACUUAAAAAUUCAAUGGCCUGUACCCUAUACAAUCCAACCCAGUUUUCCUGACUUCACUGAUGUGCCCUGGCCCCUCCUCCAGCUCACCACCACCCCUACUAAGAAAGCUGCAUUCAUUUCUUCUAGCAUGCUCUCAAAUGCACCAGCCCCAUGUUCAAGGAGGCUUUUGUUUCAUUUAUUUUCACAUUUGUCUGAAAAGGUAUGUAUUAGUUAGGCUGCUGCCUAGAAAUAGAAUUAAUAAGAUAUAUAGAUAUGCACAUAUAGGUAUGUUCCUUUUAUGAAGCCAUUUAAUAAAAAAUAGAUACAUGUAUUACACAUAUAUAAUUAUUGGCUCUGAGUCUGAAGGUCAGAGAUCGAGGAGCACCAAAGACAACAAGGAUGUCCUGGCUCCUCAGCCAGACAAAGGGGGCCAGCUCCUGCUUCCUCCUUCUCUCCAGGCCCUCAGCGGCCUGGGUGGUGCCCCUCUACCCCCGCAUUGGGGUGAGCCAUGUGCUAUUCCGAGGCCACCCAUUCACCAGUGAAUCUCAUGCAGAAACAUAGACGCACCCAGAAUCAUGUGCAAUCCAGGCACCCUACAGAACAUCAAGCCUCCCCAUAAAAUGAAGCGACACCAGGUGCUUUCUGCAUUCCCGAAUUUUUCUAGGUGGCCCAGUGAUGAGCAGAAUUAGGGUCCAUGUGCUCUGGUCAGGCCCACCCCACCUCUCCUGGGCCCUGUGCCAAUGUUGGACUCCGUGGUCUUCCUUAAGGUGAAUGUCAGCAAAGAGAAGAAAGCAUCCUCAGGUCCAGGGGGUCGUCACCUGGACGGGGCCGGGACGGCAACCCUAAGGUGAACCUGGCUAUAAGCUGACCAUCUAACCAUGGCUGGCAUGUCCCUCCCUUA